AUACGGAGGGUGCAAGCGUUAAUCGGAAUUACUGGGCGUAAAGCGUACGUAGGCGGUGAGUUAAGUUAGAUGUGAAAGCCCCGGGCUCAACCUGGGAACUGCAUUUAAAACUGGCUCACUAGAGUUGAGUAGAGGGGAGUGGAAUUUCAGGUGUAGCGGUGAAAUGCGUAGAGAUCUGAAGGAACACCAGUGGCGAAGGCGACUCCCUGGACUCGAACUGACGCUGAGGUACGAAAGCGUGGGUAGCAAACGGGAUUAGAAACCCCAGUAGUCC
rnacentral:rRNA from 1 species